ACGGAAGGCAGCAGUGGGGAAUAUUGCACAAUGGGGGAAACCCUGAUGCAGCGACGCCGCGUGAGUGAAGAAGUAUUUCGGUAUGUAAAGCUCUAUCAGCAGGGAAGAAAAUGACGGUACCUGACUAAGAAGCCCCGGCUAACUACGUGCCAGCAGCCGCGGUAAUACGUAGGGGGCAAGCGUUAUCCGGAUUUACUGGGUGUAAAGGGAGCGUAGACGGUUCUGCAAGUCUGAUGUGAAAGGCAGGGGCUCAACUCCUGGACUGCAUUGGAAACUGUAGAACUAGAGUGCCGGAGAGGUAAGCGGAAUUCCUAGUGUAGCGGUGAAAUGCGUAGAUAUUAGGAGGAACACCAGUGGCGAAGGCGGCUUGCUGGACGGUAACUGACGUUGAGGCUCGAAAGCGUGGGGAGCAAACAGGAUUAGAUACCCUGGUA
rnacentral:rRNA from 1 species